UCCCUUCACCCCCUCUUCCCCCAGGACCCCAUAAAUUGGAGCCCACUUAACUAAAGAUUUACCAAUAAAUUAAUAAAUA